GAAGAACUAAUUUAAGAAUUGAGUUGGCAAAGCUAAAGAGGUCAUAAGUCUUUUUUACUUACACUACUUAUAGAGCCAAAGUCUUGGAGUCCAAACCUCUUGUGUCUUGCCAAGCAAGCUAGUAAAUGACUUGUGUACCAAGUCUCAAGAAGCUUCCCAAAAAGACUUGCAAUGGCAUCUGUUGUAAGUGGCUUGAUUUCUAUGCUAUUCUAGA
rnacentral:lncRNA from 1 species